GUACGCGAAAGAGGGAGUAAUCCCUUGAGUAGAGUGGCGAACGGGUGAGUAACGCGUGAGAAACCUGCCCUAAGCAGGGGGAUAACACUCCCAACGGGGUGCUAAUACCGCAUGAGACCACGGGAUCGCAUGGUCCUGAGGUCAAAGGUGGCCUCUGCUUGCAAGCUACCGGCUUAGGAUGGUCUCGCGUCCCAUUAGCUAGUUGGCGGGGUAAUGGCCCACCAAGGCGACGAUGGGUAGCUGGUCUGAGAGGAUGGUCAGCCACACUGGGACUGAGAUACGGCCCAGACUCCUACGGGAGGCAGCAGUCGAGAGGCUUCGGCAAUGGGGGAAACCCUGACCGAGCGACGCCGCGUGAAGGAUGAAGGCCCUUGGGUUGUAAACUUCUUUUGUUCGGGAAGAAAUGCGAUCAGGUGAAUAAUCUGGUCGUUUGACGGUACCGGACGAAUAAGCUCCGGCUAACUCCGUGCCAGCAGCCGCGGUAACACGGGGGGAGCAAGCGUUGUUCGGAAUUACUGGGCGUAAAGGGCGUGUAGGCGGUCAAGUAAGUGGAAUGUGAAACGCCUCGGCUUACCCGAGGACCUGCAUCCCAAACUGCUUGGCUUGAGUAUGGGAGAGGAUGAGGGAAUUCCUGGUGUAGCGGUGAAAUGCGUAGAUAUCAGGAGGAACACCGGUGGCGAAAGCGCUCAUCUGGCCCAAUACUGACGCUGAAGCGCGAAAGCUAGGGGA
rnacentral:rRNA from 1 species